AACGAACGCUGGCGGCAUGCCUAACACAUGCAAGUCGAACGAUACCUUCGGGUCUAGUGGCGCACGGGUGCGUAACGCGUGGGAACCUGCCCUUAGGUUCGGAAUAACUCCCCGAAAGGGGUGCUAAUACCGGAUAAUGUCUUCGGACCAAAGAUUUAUCGCCUUUGGAUGGGCCCGCGUUGGAUUAGCUAGUUGGUAGGGUAAAAGCCUACCAAGGGGACGAUCCAUAGCUGGUCUGAGAGGAUGAUCAGCCACACUGGGACUGAGACACGGCCCAGACUCCUACGGGAGGAAGCAGUGGGGAAUAUUGGACAAUGGGCGCAAGACUGAUCCAGCAAUGCCGCGUGAGUGAUGAAGGCCUUAGGGUUGUAAAGCUCUUUUACCCGGGAUGAUAAUGACAGUACCGGGAGAAUAAGCGCCGGCUAACUACGUG
rnacentral:rRNA from 1 species